AAGGGGUACAAAAGGAAACGGGGAAAAAAAAAAAAAAAAAGGAGGAGGAAAAAAAAAAAAAAAAGCCCCAUCCCACCACCGAGACCGCCAGCACGGAAAAAAGGGAAACUUUGCGGAACGUGGAACUGUGAUUUUUGGAGUUCUGAGGGGGGUGGGAGGGGGGGGGGUGCCGGCUCGCAGUUUUUGCAGACUAUGGGACAGUCGAAGCGUUUCUAACUUAAAAAGGCAGCAGCCUCCCUACGGACCGUGGCCACGCGCUUUUCUUUGUACUGGGGAAUAACAUUGGAAGCGGAGAGGAGCUUGGUGGUGUGUGUCUGCGCCGCGGGAGGGGCUGAGCUGGGUGAAACGACGUCCCGCACCCCCCGAGGUCCUCUUCUGAGGUUUUAUUGAAGAGAAAAAAAACACAAAAAUCAAAAAGAGGGGGAGGAAAUAGAGUUGUACCCCAGAGGAGGAAGGCCGUGGACAUCGGUCCCCCUCUGCAGGCUGCUGUGGUUGAGGAGGGGGCUCAGGCCCUGCUGGGCUCCUGCCUCCUCCCUAAAUACCCUCUCCGGAGGCCCCACUGCUUCCCAGCCCUGCAGAGCCCUGGUGGUGCUAAUUAGCCUUAAUUGCACCAAGCAGCCUCACGUGGGGCCUCCACACACCCCUCACAGGCCCAGGAACCCCUCCAUGUUAGGCCUGGGGCCACCAUCCCGCUCCCUGAGCUGUGUUGUGGUGUCCCGGCCCCAUAGGGCUGGCUUCAGGCCUGCCUCGGCCCCAUGAACCCCACUGGUGACCCCCUUGGACCUUCUGGCAGGGUUUUCCCCGUGGAAGCUGCUGGGACCCCACUGUGCCCCGUGCAUGGGACAUGCACCUUGUGGCCUCCCCAACGAGGCUCCGGGCGGCGUUCACCCAAGCUUAUUGACCCCAAAGGCCUCCACGAGGUGUUCUGGAGACCGCAGAGCUGCGUCUCGGCCCCAUGGCACCCACAAGUGACUUCCCCAGUGUGCCUGGGAGCCCCCCGAUAUCUCCUUGAAGCCCAGCCGGCACCCACCAGAAGCCCCCUUUGCACGGUGCGCUUAGGCCAGGAGCGAGGUGAACCCCAAAGAGCUCCUUUGGGGCGAGCAGGGUUCAAUCCUCCCUGCUUUGGGGUUCGCCCCGGUUCCUGGUUCACGGGGGGCCUCUCCAGCCCCGUGCUCACCAGACUGGUUCAGCAGGGGCCGGGCGAUUUGGGGCGGCCGCCGUGCUUUGAAGGGCUCCAAAAAAGGGUCUGAUGGCCGCCAGCCUCCCGGCGGAGAAAAAAAGGCAGAAAAGGUGGUUUUGGGUUUCGGCGGGGGAUUGGGCCGCCCCGGCAGCCCUGCGGGGCUUUGUCUGCUGGUGGCGGUGAAAGGGAUCCCCGGGGGCCGUGUCCCCGCUGCUGCAUCCCAGGGGAGGCGAAUUUGGGGCCGUGCAGUGAGGGGUGGGUGCACCCAGGACGGGGCAGAGCCCUGCGGGGAUCCCCAGCACUGAGUGGGGGGACCCCAGAUUUGGUUCUCGACCUGGGCCAUGGUCGGAGCUUUUCCUGCCCCUCGUUCUGGUCUGACCCAAGGGUGCUCAGCACGGGUUUGGGUACAGCAGGUGCCCGGUUUCAGGCACCUGGGGGUGCACCCAGAAGCUUUUUGGCUUUUUGGUUUCAGGUCAGGAAAAAAAG